AGGCCUAACACAUGCAAGUCGAGCGGUAGCACAAGAGAGCUUGCUCUCUGGGUGACGAGCGGCGGACGGGUGAGUAAUGUCUGGGAAACUGCCUGAUGGAGGGGGAUAACUACUGGAAACGGUAGCUAAUACCGCAUGACGUCUUCGGACCAAAGUGGGGGACCUUCGGGCCUCACGCCAUCAGAUGUGCCCAGAUGGGAUUAGCUAGUAGGUGGGGUAAUGGCUCACCUAGGCGACGAUCUCUAGCUGGUCUGAGAGGAUGACCAGCCACACUGGAACUGAGACACGGUC
rnacentral:rRNA from 1 species